ACUCCUACGGGAGGCAGCAGUAGGGGAAUCUUUCCACAAUAGGACGGAAAACGUCUGAUGGAGCAACGCCGCGUGAACGAUGAAGGCUUUCGGGUCGUAAAGUUCUGUUGUAAGGGAAGAACAAGUGCCGCAGGCAAUGGCGGCACCUUGACGGUACCUUGCGAGAAAGCCACGGCUAACUACGUGCCAGCAGCCGCGGUAAUACGUAGGUGGCAAGCGUUGUCCGGAAUUAUUGGGCGUAAAGCGCGCGCAGGCGGCCUCUUAAGUCUGAUGUGAAAGCCCCCGGCUCAACCGGGGGAGGGCCAUUGGAAACUGGGAGGCUUGAGUAUAGGAGAGAAGAGUGGAAUUCCACGUGUAGCGGUGAAAUGCGUAGAGAUGUGGAGGAACACCAGUGGCGAAGGCGACUCUUUGGCCUAUAACUGACGCUGAGGCGCGAAAGCGUGGGGAGCAAACAGGAUUAGAUACCCU
rnacentral:rRNA from 1 species